CAUGGAUCUCGUCGGUGGAGCGCUCGGUGGCGAUGUCCGGCAGAUCGCGAGGACCUGGAUCUCGAGAUUUGGAGGAAUCAUCAACAUUGCACCGCCAACCUAGAAUAGCAGCAGCCAGUCAAUAGAAUUUGUUGCUUUAACAACUUCCGGAGGAGUUCCCUCUUGGUAUGGUGACCAAGCAGGAGAGAUAACACAGGACUACCUCCAUGCCACCGAAACACUCUUCAACCACCGGAAACGCUCUUCAAGCAGGAGAGAUAACACAG